ensembl:snRNA U6 U6 spliceosomal RNA
UGCUGGUUUGGGCAGCACCACUGGAAAAUGGGAAAAAUACAGAGAAGAUUAGCAUGGCCCCUGGGCAAGGAUGACACACAAAUUCAUACAGCAUUCCAUAUUUAA